rnacentral:rRNA from 1 species
AUGCAGCCAUGCCGCGUGUGUGAAGAAGGCCUUCGGGUUGUAAAGCACUUUCAGCGGGGAGGAAGGCGGUGAGGUUAAUAACCUCAUCGAUUGACGUUACCCGCAGAAGAAGCACCGGCUAACUCCGUGCCAGCAGCCGCGGUAAUACGGAGGGUGCAAGCGUUAAUCGGAAUUACUGGGCGUAAAGCGCACGCAGGCGGUCUGUCAAGUCGGAUGUGAAAUCCCCGGGCUCAACCUGGGAACUGCAUUCGAAACUGGCAGGCUAGAGUCUUGUAGAGGGGGGUAGAAUUCCAGGUGUAGCGGUGAAAUGCGUAGAGAUCUGGAGGAAUACCGGUGGCGAAGGCGGCCCCCUGGACAAAGACUGACGCUCAGGUGCGAAAGCGUGGGGAGCAAACAGGAUUAGAUACCCUGGUAGUCCACGCUGUAAACGAUGUCGAUUUGGAGGUUGUGCCCUUGAGGCGUGGCUUCCGGAGCUAACGCGUUAAAUCGACCGCCUGGGGAGUACGGCCGCAAGGUUAAAACUCAAAUGAAUUGACGGGGGCCCGCACAAGCGGUGGAGCAUGUGGUUUAAUUCGAUGCAACGCGAAGAACCUUACCUGGUCUUGACAUCCACAGAACUUUCCAGAGAUGGAUUGGUGCCUUCGGGAACUGUGAGACAGGUGCUGCAUGGCUGUCGUCAGCUCGUGUUGUGAAAUGUUGGGUUAAGUCCCGCAACGAGCGCAACCCUUAUCCUUUGUUGCCAGCGGUCCGGCCGGGAACUCAAAGGAGACUGCCAGUGAUAAACUGGAGGAGGGUGGGGGAUGACGUCAAGUCAUCAUGGCCCUUACGACCAGGGCUACACACGUGCUACAAUGGCAUAUACAAAGAGAAGCGACCUCGCGAGAGCAAGCGGACCUCAUAAAGUAUGUCGUAAUCCGGAUUGGAGUCUGCAACUCGACUCCAUGAGUCGGAUCGCUAGUAAUCGUAGAUCAGAAUGCUACGGUGAAUACGUUCCC